GCUCUUUCCACUCCCCAACUCCGCGGGAGCGAGCUGUGGUCACAGACCUGUGGAUCCGAGGACAGGAGCCCAGGAGGCCGGGACGUCGGGUCCCCGCGCGCGACGACAGAGGCCGAGAGCCCGGGCAGGGAGAAGAGUGACAUUCUCGGAGCUUGGGGCCGGGGUCCUUUGGCCCUGCGGGGUCCAGGCCCCAGAGGGCAACACGCUCAAAUGCCCACGGGCACUUAACUCGCAGUAGACACGACUGAGGAUUUCUGACGGCCGCUGCAGGAGACGGCACGCAGCUCACUGCACGUCAGAGAAGGUGAGGACCCAGAAACAUGGAGAAUGGAUGGGAGCCCCACUCUUGCUUGAGUCUGAGAUGGAGCUGAACACCGAGGCGAAUACCCGAUACAGUGGGCUCCCGCUAAUUACGAGGGCUCCGGCGCCUUUGGUGAGGCCGCUCAGCGAAGGACUGCCGCAUGAGUGCGAUUAUUCAGAUUUUUAAUAGAUAACCGUGUUCCUGCUUGGGUGAGCCCGUUUUGGAAACCACCCUCACAGACGGCGACAAUUUUUUUUUCCCAGUCCUAAUGACAUUCUCUGGACGCUUUAGCAGUUAAUGCUAAAACUUUGUGCUUGU